rnacentral:lncRNA from 1 species
CCCCCCCGGUGGCUUUUCAUUUUUUCUUAUCUCCCUUUCACAGCCUCCCACGGACAGGCUCUUCCUCGACCAACCGUUCCCCAAUUCAGCCCUUGUUUUCCUGUGGCCGUUGAACCACAACAGCCACUUUUCCCUCUCAGCUGCAGGAGCAAGAGACGGAAUGAGCGGAGACCCAGCUCCCUCCUCACUUCGACUCAGCAGCAGCGUCUCCCUCGCCGGCCAGUAGUAGUCCUUCCUUCACCAGCAGCCACCGCAGCUCUCCUUUCCCAUUCUUCCCCCAGCUGCUAGCCAAGACAAACCCAUUUUCUUCAUCAUCUCCUUCGGCCGGCAGCAGACCCAGCUCACUGCUUCCAACAGCCUUCAUCAUCUCCUUCGGCGCCGUCUCCAGCUCCUCCACCAAGCGCAGCGGCAGCCCCCGCUGUCUUCUUCCUCUCCUGCCAA